AUGGAUGUUAAGACUGCUUUCCUAAAUGGAGAGUUGGACGAGGAAAUUUAUAUGGAACAACCAGAUGGGUUUGUACUAGAUGGUCAGGAAGGAAAAGUGUGCAAGUUGCUGAAGUCUUUGUAUGGACUCAAGCAAGCACCCAAACAGUGGCAUGGGAAGUUUCAAAGAACUUUAACAGUUGUAGGCUUUGUUGUAAACGAAGCUGACAAAUGUGUGUACUAUCGCCAUGGUGGGGGCGAGGGAGUUAUUCUUUGCUUGUAUGUUGAUGACAUACUGAUUUUCGGAACAAAUCUGAAUGUUAUUAAGGAGGUCAAGGGUUUCCUAUCUAGCUGUUUUGAGAUGAAGGAUUUAGGAGUGGCUGAUGUCAUUCUGAACAUCAAGUUGUUGAGAGACGAUGACGGUGGGAUUACAUUGCUUCAAUCUCACUAUGUGGAAAAGAUCUUGAGUCACUUUGGCUAUAGUGACUGCAAGCCCUCUCCAACACCAUAUGAUGCGAGUGUGUUACUUCGAAAGAAUCGAAGAAUUGCUAGAGAUCAAUUGAAGUAUUCUCAGAUUACUGGCUCACUUAUGUACUUAGCCAGUGCUACAAGACCUGACAUCUCUUUUGUUGUUAGCAAACUGAGUCGGUUUGUCUCAAAACCAGGAGAUGUGCAUUGGAAAGCUCUAGAGAGAGUUUUGCGUUAUUUGAAAGGCACUGCAAAUUAUGGAAUUCACUGCACUAGGCACCCAAAGGUGCUUGAAGGGUAUAGUGACUCAAACUGGAUCUCAGAUGCUGAUGAGAUAAAGGCCACGAGCGGAUAUGUAUUCACUCAUGGAGGUAACGCUGUUUCUUGGAAGUCUUGCAAGCAGACCAUCUUAACAAGGUCAACAAUGGAAGCAGAACUCACAUCACAAGAUACAGCUGCAGUCGAAGCAGAUUGGCUUUGCCGGCUCUUGAAUGACUUGCCAGUUGUUGAGAAACCUGUACCGGGUAUCCUUAUGAGAUGUCGUCCUGCAGAACAUCUUUUGAAGAACGCACCUAUAUGA
rnacentral:rRNA from 1 species